GUGAACGCUGGCGGUAGGCCUAACACAUGCAAGUCGAACGGCAGCACCGUAAGAGCUUGCUCUUACGGGUGGCGAGUGGCGGACGGGUGAGGAAUACAUCGGAAUCUACUUUUUCGUGGGGGAUAACGUAGGGAAACUUACGCUAAUACCGCAUACGACCUACGGGUGAAAGCAGGGGAUCUUCGGACCUUGCGCGAUUGAAUGAGCCGAUGUCGGAUUAGCUAGUUGGCGGGGUAAAGGCCCACCAAGGCGACGAUCCGUAGCUGGUCUGAGAGGAUGAUCAGCCACACUGGAACUGAGACACGGUCCAGACUCCUACGGGAGGCGGCAGUGGGGAAUAUUGGACAAUGGGCGCAAGCCUGAUCCAGCCAUACCGCGUGGGUGAAGAAGGCCUUCGGGUUGUAAAGCCCUUUUGUUGGGAAAGAAAAGCAGCAGGUUAAUACCCCGCUGUUCUGACGGUACCCAAAGAAUAAGCACCGGCUAACUUCGUG
rnacentral:rRNA from 1 species